CGCACAGUAAACGAUGAAUACUAACUGUUUGCGAUACACAGCAAGUGGUACAGUGAAAACGUUAAGUAUUCCACCUGGGGAGUACGCCGGCAACGGUGAAACUCAAAGGAAUUGACGGGGGCCCGCACAAGCGGAGGAACAUGUGGUUUAAUUCGAUGAUACGCGAGGAACCUUACCCGGGCUUGAAUUGCAUUUGAAUAUAGUGGAAACAUUAUAGCCAGCAAUGGCAAAUGUGAAGGUGC
rnacentral:rRNA from 1 species